rnacentral:rRNA from 1 species
UACGUAGGGUGCGAGCGUUAAUCGGAAUUACUGGGCGUAAAGCGUGCGCAGGCGGUUUUGUAAGCCAGGUGUGAAAUCCCCGGGCUUAACCUGGGAAUGGCAUUUGGGACUGCAAGGCUUGAGUGCGGCAGAGGAGACUGGAAUUCCUGGUGUAGCAGUGAAAUGCGUAGAUAUCAGGAGGAAUACCGAUGGCGAAGGCAGGUCUCUGGGCUGGCACUGACGCUCAUGCACGAAAGCGUGGGGAGCAAACAGG